rnacentral:rRNA from 1 species
GAUGAACGCUGGCGGCAUGCCUAACACAUGCAAGUCGAACGGCAGCAUGGCUAAGUGCUUGCACUUAGCUGAUGGCGAGUGGCGGACGGGUGAGUAACGCGUAGGAAUCUGCCCUUAAGUUGGGGACAACCCGGGGAAACUCGGGCUAAUACCGAAUACACUCUACGGAGGAAAGCUGGGGACCCGCGAGGGCCUGGCGCUCGAGGAGGAGCCUGCGUACGAUUAGCUAGUUGGUGGGGUAAAGGCCUACCAAGGCGACGAUCGUUAGCUGGUCUGAGAGGAUGACCAGCCACACUGGGACUGAGAGACGGCCCAGACUCCUACGGGAGGCAGCAGUGGGGAACAUUGGACAAUGGGGGCAACCCUGAUCCAGCGAUGCCGCGUGUGUGAAGAAGGCCUGAGGGUUGUAAAGCACUUUAGUUGGGGAAGAGAUUACAGAGUUUAAGAGAUACUGUAUGAGACAUGAACCAAAGAAUAAGCACCGGCUAACUCCGUGCCAGCCGCCGCCGUAA